GCGAAAGAGAGUUCAAUAGGUUACUCAUCUUUUUUGUCAACGAUUACUGCAUCUGAAGUCAGAAUUCCUCUCUCUAUCUUCAGUCCUUAUUUAUUCCUUCCUCAAGAACAGCUCUGGACAGUUAUGGAAGGACUAUGUAAUAGCAGUCUCAUAGGAAACGAGCAGUAAGUUUAACACUGUUGUUCGCAGCAAUGACAUUCAACAAUACUGAGUUAGAUUCUCUUCUGUGGGAUUUUCUGCAGUCCUAUGUGAAACAUAACACAACUAUAUCUAACAGCACAGGAG